GAUUUGAUGUUACACGAUGUUGCUCAGCACGCGACUUAAUGGCACUUGUUUCCGCAGUAUCAACUUCAGUAUCUUCAGCCUUUUUGUUUGGUUGAUGGUGAUUAACUGCAAUUCAAACCUUGCUUCACUAGGCUUCUAAUAUUUUAACCUGGUUUGAUGGCUGCAUCUGAGAGGCUUUGGAUAGGUUGGUAAUGCUGCAGUUAUGUAUUACUGGAAAUGUAUGGGUUGUUUUGAGAUGUGUGCAAGGCUGAAACAAAUGGAGCUGCUUGGAUUGUGGGGCUGGUCAUCGUAACUCACAGAACUUGACAUUUCAAAUAACCGAAAUAGUAGGGCUGCUGGGCAUCUAGUGUACCAGAAAAGAUUUUACAGGAGUAAAUUUUGUAUAUGCCCUGGUGGAUCACAGGUUAACAGUGCUCGAAUAGCAGACUCUAUUCAUUAUGGAUGCAUACCUGUGAUAAUAUCAAAUUGCUAUGACCUUCCUUUUAAUGAUAUUCUUGACUGGAGAAAACUUGUUCAUAAUAAUUUAGUCAAGAUUCAGAAACACUUCCAGUGGAAUUCACCUCCAGUGAGAUAUCGUGCUUUCUAUAUGGUUAUGUAUAACCUCUGAUUACGCCAUCACACCAUCCAACACUGAUUCUAAGUGCUCGUCUGUUUUUGCGGAUCAAUGUCCAAGUGCAUGCCAGGAUCAAACCUACAGUUGUAGCUUCUGUUAAAUCGCACACGAAUGCCGGUUGAGUGUAUCUAGAAGUGAAACUAAAGAAGCCCCAAAGACUCACUCUUAUCCUGUAUACACCCUACUGUAAAUAAUCACAUUACUGCUUUAUAUGUAACGGCUAAUUUUUUUAAUAUUCUUGCAUCCACAUUUUUGUACGUUGAAAAUUGUGGCAUGUGCAAUUGGUAGUGUUCGACAUUGAAAACUAAAUUAACAUUGGUUUGUUUCAAUACUAAUUUUGAGAAGAGAACCCAAUUUGCUUCAA